CCCUCCAAGGUACAGACUCCUCUCGGCCUCUGCAACAGGUCUUCUUCAUCAAGGAUGGAUGCAUCUUGGCGCUUCAUGGUAUGUAUUUGGUUAGGAAGGUUGCCCAUGAUGCUAGUGAAGACUUCCAUGCAUGAUGGAAUUAGGCCAGGGUGAGCAACCCAUGUUCCAUCAUGCCCCGCCUUCGCUUCUCUCAGCUUAUCCUUCCUUACAAGUUGCAAUGAUGCCUCAUUAGCUUCUGGAUCAUCACUAAUUGGAAUAUGAGCUGCCUGUUUCACGGAUUCAACAUAGCUAUUAUGCAUCAAUUUGAUCAUGUACAAUAAGAUUCCAAAUUAGCCUACUGAAAAAAUUGGAAACUACUCCAAAUGUUUUUCUUUCUUCCAAAUAUUGUCAAACUUAUCCAAAAAUAAAGUUGGUGUUUGGUUGAUAGUCAUAAGUAUCGAAGGACGACAAAGUUGCAGCCAACACACUAACCGGCUUAGGAUUUUUCGUACAUAUCAACAACACUAAAGUCUUUCCUAUUGUAAUCCUCCAUGGCUCAUGUCGGAAUGAUCAUGUGCAUACUUCCUAACAUCAAUAACAUCCUACUAGCGUGCUAAUGUUUUAGCGUCCAUAUAGUUGACAUGUAUGCAAUUUGUUUGAGUUCCUAGUCUUAAUAAUGCAAAUAUUCUUAUGUAAAAUUAUUUAACAGAACAUAGAAUUAAAAAAGAAACCGAAAUAAUAUAGACUUACCAUGCCUCCCAUAGCAUGGACGCCACGCUUAUGACAAGUGUGGAUGAGCAAGUCGGAAUAACUCCUCAUAAAGUGUUGAUUCAUGCCAACUUGAACCCUAUCUGGGAGAAUGCGAUCUGGCUGAGCCUGGACAGUCUUGAGAUAGCUGAAAAUGUAAUCCCAUCUACCACAGUUGAGGCCAACAGAAUGGUCCCUCAGUUCAUACAAGAUUUCAUUCAGCUGAAACACAGCUGGAAGUGUUUCAAUCAGGACAGUGGCCCUAAUGCUUCCUUCCUCAAUUCCUGCCCAUUUUUCUGCCCUCUCAAACACAUUGUUCCAUAUUCUAGCUUCCCUGUUCAGACAAAAGAAAAACUGCUACAUUUCCUUGGAAUAUAAUUGUCAAGACUAUAUAAAUUUACUAACAAGAACACAACUGACCUAGAAUGUUCCAUUUUUGGAAGGUAGAAAAAGGGUCCAAAGCCCUGUCCUUGGGUCUUGCGGAAGUUCGCAUGGUUUUGGAUAAAAUAGAGGCCGAAGUCGACAAGGCAACCAGUGGCAGGUUCACCAUCAAUGAAGAUGU
rnacentral:lncRNA from 1 species